rnacentral:rRNA from 1 species
AGCGGCGGAUGGGUGAGUAACACGUGGGUAACCUACCCUAUAGUCUGGGAUACCACUUGGAAACAGGUGCUAAUACCGGAUAAAAGGAGAGAUCACAUGAUUUCUUUUUGAAAGGCGGCGUAAGCUGUCGCUAAAGGAUGGACCCGCGGUGCAUUAGCUAGUUGGUAAGGUAACGGCUUACCAAGGCAACGAUGCAUAGCCGAGUUGAGAGACUGAUCGGCCACAUUGGGACUGAGACACGGCCCAAACUCCUACGGGAGGCAGCAGUAGGGAAUCUUCCACAAUGGACGCAAGUCUGAUGGAGCAACGCCGCGUGAGUGAAGAAGGUUUUCGGAUCGUAAAGCUCUGUUGUUGGUGAAGAAAGAUAGUGAGAGUAACUGCUCAUUAUUUGCCGGUAAUCAACCAGAAAGUCACGGCUAACUACGUGCCAGCAGCCGCGGUAAUACGUAGGUGGCAAGCGUUGUCCGGAUUUAUUGGGCGUAAAGCGAGCGCAGGCGGAAAGAUAAGUCAGAUGUGAAAGCCCUCGGCUUAACCGAGGAAUAGCAUCGGAAACUGUCUUUCUUGAGUGCAGAAGAGGAGAGUGGAACUCCAUGUGUAGCGGUGGAAUGCGUAGAUAUAUGGAAGAACACCAGUGGCGAAGGCGGCUCUCUGGUCUGUAACUGACGCUGAGGCUCGAAAGCAUGGGUAGCGAACAGGAUUAGAUACCCUGGUAGUCCAUGCUGUAAACGAUGAGUGCUAAGUGUUGGGAGGUUUCCGCCUCUCAGUGCUGCAGCUAACGCAUUAAGCACUCCGCCUGGGGAGUACGACCGCAAGGUCAAAACUCAAAGGAAUUGACGGGGGCCCGCACAAGCGGUGGAGCAUGUGGUUUAAUUCGAAGCAACGCGAAGAACCUUACCAGGUCUUGACAU